GACGUAGGUGGCGAACGUUAUCCGGAAUUAUUGGGCGUAAAGGGUGCGUAGGCGGCAUGAUAAGUUAUUGGCGGCAAAUCGAGGCUCAACCUCGUGGAAACUAAUAAUACUGUCUUGCUUGAGUGCAGAAGAGGUUAACGGAACUCCAUGUGGAGCGGUAAAAUGUGUAGAUAUAUGGAAGAACAUCAAUAACGGCGAAGGCAGUUAACUAGUCUGUUACUGACAUUGAGGCAUGAAAGCGUGGGGAGCAAAACGG
rnacentral:rRNA from 1 species